rnacentral:rRNA from 1 species
GCGCAGCAGUCGCGAAUCUUCCACAAUGGGGGAAACCCUGAUGGAGCGACGCCGCGUGCGGGAUGAUGGCCCUAUGGGUUGUAAACCGCUGUUCAGUGGAAAGAACAUCCUCCGGCUGAAUAGGUCGGAGGCCUGACGUUACCACUGCAGAAAGUCCCGGCAACUCCGUGCCAGCAGCCGCGGGUAAUACGGGGGGGACGAGCGUUGUCCGGAAUCAUUGGGCGUAAAGGGCGCGUAGGCGGCGAGGAAAGUCGAAUGUGAAAUCUUGCGGCUCAACUGCAAAACUGCGUUCGAAACUUCCUCGCUUGAGUAUGAGAGAGGUGUGCGGAAUUCCUGGUGUAGCGGUGGAAUGCGUAGAUAUCA